rnacentral:rRNA from 1 species
UGGGGAAUAUUGCGCAAUGGGCGGAAGCCUGACGCAGCCACGCCGCGUGAGCGAUGAAGGCCUUCGGGUCGUAACGCUCUGUGGGGAGAGAAGAAGAAAGCCCGUGAAGAGCGGGCCUUGACGGUAUCCUCUUAGCAAGCACCGGCUAACUCCGUGCCAGCAGCCGCGGUUAUACGGAGGGUUCAAACGUUGCUCGGAAUCAUUGGGCGUAAAGCGCACGUAGGCGGCGAAGCAAGUCGGGUGUGAAAGCCCUGGGAUCAAAGCAGGAAGUGCAUUCGAAACUAUGUCGCGUGAAUCUCGGAGGGGGUCAGAGAAUUCCCGGUGUAGAGGUGAAAUUCGUAGAUGUCGGGGGGAAUACCAGUGGCGAAGGCGCUGACCUGGACGAAGAUUGACGCUGAGGUGCGAAAGCGCGGGGAGCAAACA